rnacentral:rRNA from 1 species
GUCUAUGGCCAUGCCACCCUGAACAAGCCCAAUGUCUGAUCUCGGAAGCUAAGCACGGUCGGGCCUGGUUAGUACUUGGAUGGAGACAGCACCUAGGAAGACCAGGUGCUGUAGGCA